GACGACCGGCGCACGGGUGAGUAUCGCGUAUGCAACCUUCCUUUAACUGGGGGAUAGCCCGGAGAAAUUCGGAUUAAUACCCCAUAACAUCACGAAAACGCAUGUUUUUGUGAUUAAAGCUCCGGCGGUUAAAGAUGGGCAUGCGUGCCAUUAGCUUGUUGGUAAGGUAACGGCUUACCAAGGCCACGAUGGUUAGGGGGUCUGAGAGGAUGAUCCCCCACACUGGUACUGAGACACGGACCAGACUCCUACGGGAGGCAGCAGUGAGGAAUAUUGGGCAAUGGGCGCAAGCCUGACCCAGCCAUGCCGCGUGAAGGAUGAAUGCCCUACGGGUUGUAAACUUCUUUUGUACGGGACGAAACUUCCGAUCGUGAUCGGAACUGACUGUACCGUUCGAAUAAGCAUCGGCUAACUCCGUGCCAGCAGCCGCGGUAAUACGAAGGAUGCAAGCGUUAUCCGGAUUCAUUGGGUUUAAAGGGUGCGUAGGCGGAAUAGUAAGUCAGUGGUGAAAGCCUGCGGCUCAACCGUAGAAUUGCCAUUGAUACUGUUAUUCUUGAGUAUAGUUGAGGUGGGCGGAAUGUGUAAUGUAGCGGUGAAAUGCUUAGAUAUUACACAGAACACCAAUUGCGAAGGCAGCUCACUAAACUGUCACUGACGCUGAG
rnacentral:rRNA from 1 species